ACGGCCGGUCGUUGGGGGUCUCAACCUUUAGAAUUCUAAACAAACACUUGAGGUGGCGGUGCCUUGACGCCUGAUCUGAAUUUACCACCUCGGCCCAGGACCGGUCACCGUGUAGUGCCUCUCCGCUUAGAUUGUUGGGAGCUAAAAUGGGGUCAGCGCAGCAACGACUUUACAAGACAUAAAAUUGUGACGUACGACUUUGGUCAUAAAUCCAGCGCCCAUGUUCUCUUCCCGCGCUCCUAAUCCCUCAGUCGACGGAUAAUAUAGAUCGCAAUAUUUUCACUCUCUCGGAUUUUCUUCUUCAAUCAGACUUCAGUAAUGUGGAGGAGAAAAAGGCUCUCGCUACAAUUUGGAGCAAACUUGCAGGAUAACAUUGAUUCUGAUCAGAGUAUUUCUGAAGAGGAGGAAACUUUGGAGGGUGAUUGGUCAGAAAAAUAUAUAUCCUUGGGUGGUCCUAUGGAUAACAAGGGGGAAAUACAAGUUCUCUCACAGUUCGAGAAACUAAGAGAUUCUUGCCAGCUUGAUCCAACAGAAAAGGUGUCCACUUCAUCUUGUGAGCAGAGGCAAGUAGGUUUUUGUAUUGAUGAUGAAGUUGAAGACCCUCUCUUUAAUGAUGAGGAUGAUUCCAUUCGUCAUCCAAGAAUCUCUGCUUGCUACUCGAAUGAAAAAACUGACAACUUACCAACAGUGGCAUCGAUCUCUAACUCCGACGAAGAAAUUACUUCUGCUGAUGAGAAAGUUAGCCUUCAUACACUGGGAAGCGUAAAAAGGGAUGUUGGUGGCACAUGGUCCAAAGCAAGUCGAGAAGCUGAGGCAUUACUUUGCUUAUAUGAAAACUCUAGCUCUUCCUCAUCUGGAGGUGCCUUCGUGAAGGAAAACAAAUCAUCUAAACGUGGGGGCAGGGACAAAGCCAAGCCCAAAUUUUCUUUUGGUUUCCAGUCAAGCAAGGAAGAUCUGCCUUUAGUUCUCAGGCGUAAGAAAGAUCAACUUGAUGCUGCAGCUGACAGAGACAUGAACCAAUCAAUUGAUGGUACGAGGUGGGUUUUUCAAGGCCAAGAAAUAGAGCAGACUGAGAUUCACACGGAUAUUGGGAAAAGAGGAAGAAACCCACAGAUCAUUCCAAAUAGAAAUCCAUCUCCAUCGGGUGAUGGAAGCAUGGAUGGUGAUGACCUAAUUGAAGCUUUGGGUAAUAGACUGUCCAGUGAUGAUGAGGAGAACCCUCAAAGUUUCAAGUCAAAUAUUCCUUGCAGGACUAUGUUAGAUCAAUUUCAGGAAGCUUUUGGAACUGUUCCUGUGAAUGAUGAGAGGCCACACUUAGUGCUGCCUAGACCAUUGGGCGGUGGAUUGUUUGGAAGGUUGCAGCAAGUAAUUCAGAGUGAGAAGAUGAAAGAGACUGCAUUGCUGUAAGAAUUUUGUCAAGGUCUCUGGAGGCAAAGCUGACUGUUUGUUCUUGCACUUUUAUUGGAGAUGGAGAGAGCUCCUGUUGGGAGAAGAACAUGCAACCCAAAAUGAAAAUCUGGGGAAGGACUUUAACUAUCAUUUUCAACUCAAGAAUAUGCUGUGAUGUUGACCUUGAAGUUGGCAACCUCAUUUGCAUACAUUCCCCUUGGAAGAAGGUACAGGUGAAAGAGACAGGUGAGGUCAUUUUAUGCACAUAUUUUUCCGGGAUCCAGCUCUGAUUUCAAAUUCCGGCUUGAAAUAAACAAGCUAAGGAUGGAGUGGUGCAGCUUGAGUUCCUUCCCUCUGAUGCUGGUUUUUCAGGACGAGUACCAAAAAUUGCCCGACGUGGAUGGAAGAAACUUAGUCGAAUCUGGAGUGAUCAAAGUUUGGCUAGUCCCCAGGAUGCGGUUUUUAGCACUACUCUUCUUGGAAGUAAGUCUCAAAUGUAAACUUGACUGACUUUUGAGCAAAAUAUUAUACCAUGACGUUUGUUUACAUUGUUUAUUGAGUUUAUAUUUAGAACAUGUUUGGUACA